UAGCGUAUAUUAAAGUUGUUGCAGUUAAAAAGCUCGUAGUUGGAUCUCGGGUCCAGGCGUGGCGGUUCGCUUCGCGGCGAUUUACUGCCCGACCCUGACCUCGCCAGCCGCAUCUCUCCCUUGGUGCUCUUGACUGAGUGUCUCGGGGUAGUCGGCACGUUUACUUUGAAAAAAUUAGAGUGCUCAAAGCAGGCCUCGGUCGCCUGAAUACUGUUGCAUGGAAUAAUGGAAGAGGACCUCGGUUCUAUUACGUUGGUUUUCGGAACCGGAGGUAAUGAUUAAGAGGGACGGACGGGGGCAUCCGUAUUACGGCGUU
rnacentral:rRNA from 1 species